rnacentral:rRNA from 1 species
UACGGUAGGGGCAAGCGUUGUCCGGAAUUAUUGGGCGUAAAGAGCGUGUAGGCGGCCAGAUAAGUCCGCUGUGAAAUCUCGAGGCUCAACUUCGAGCUGUCGGUGGAAACUAUCUGGCUAGAGUCCGGAAGAGGAGAAUGGAAUUCCUGGUGUAGCGGUGAAAUGCGCAGAUAUCAGGAAGAACACCCGUGGCGAAGGCGGUUCUCUGGGAAUAUCCUGACGCUGAGGAGCGAAAGUGUGGGGAGCGAACAGG